GGUUAAGCGACUAAGCGUACACGGUGGAUGCCCUGGCAGUCAGAGGCGAUGAAGGACGUGCUAAUCUGCGAUAAGCGUCGGUAAGGUGAUAUGAACCGUUAUAACCGGCGAUUUCCGAAUGGGGAAACCCAGUGUGAUUCGUCACACUAUCAUUAACUGAAUCCAUAGGUUAAUGAGGCGAACCGGGGGAACUGAAACAUCUAAGUACCCCGAGGAAAAGAAAUCAACCGAGAUUCCCCCAGUAGCGGCGAGCGAACGGGGAGCAGCCCAGAGCCUGAAUCAGUGUGUGUGUUAGUGGAAGCGUCUGGAAAGGCGCGCGAUACAGGGUGACAGCCCCGUACACAAAAAUGCACAUGCUGUGAGCUCGAUGAGUAGGGCGGGACACGUGGUAUCCUGUCUGAAUAUGGGGGGACCAUCCUCCAAGGCUAAAUACUCCUGACUGACCGAUAGUGAACCAGUACCGUGAGGGAAAGGCGAAAAGAACCCCGGCGAGGGGAGUGAAAAAGAACCUGAAACCGUGUACGUACAAGCAGUGGGAGCACGCUUAGGCGUGUGACUGCGUACCUUUUGUAUAAUGGGUCAGCGACUUAUAUUCUGUAGCAAGGUUAACCGAAUAGGGGAGCCGAAGGGAAACCGAGUCUUAACUGGGCGUUAAGUUGCAGGGUAUAGACCCGAAACCCGGUGAUCUAGCCAUGGGCAGGUUGAAGGUUGGGUAACACUAACUGGAGGACCGAACCGACUAAUGUUGAAAAAUUAGCGGAUGACUUGUGGCUGGGGGUGAAAGGCCAAUCAAACCGGGAGAUAGCUGGUUCUCCCCGAAAGCUAUUUAGGUAGCGCCUCGUGAAUUCAUCUCCGGGGGUAGAGCACUGUUUCGGCAAGGGGGUCAUCCCGACUUACCAACCCGAUGCAAACUGCGAAUACCGGAGAAUGUUAUCACGGGAGACACACGGCGGGUGCUAACGUCCGUCGUGAAGAGGGAAACAACCCAGACCGCCAGCUAAGGUCCCAAAGUCAUGGUUAAGUGGGAAACGAUGUGGGAAGGCCCAGACAGCCAGGAUGUUGGCUUAGAAGCAGCCAUCAUUUAAAGAAAGCGUAAUAGCUCACUGGUCGAGUCGGCCUGCGCGGAAGAUGUAACGGGGCUAAACCAUGCACCGAAGCUGCGGCAGCGACGCUUAUGCGUUGUUGGGUAGGGGAGCGUUCUGUAAGCCUGUGAAGGUGUGCUGUGAGGCAUGCUGGAGGUAUCAGAAGUGCGAAUGCUGACAUAAGUAACGAUAAAGCGGGUGAAAAGCCCGCUCGCCGGAAGACCAAGGGUUCCUGUCCAACGUUAAUCGGGGCAGGGUGAGUCGACCCCUAAGGCGAGGCCGAAAGGCGUAGUCGAUGGGAAACAGGUUAAUAUUCCUGUACUUGGUGUUACUGCGAAGGGGGGACGGAGAAGGCUAUGUUGGCCGGGCGACGGUUGUCCCGGUUUAAGCGUGUAGGCUGGUUUUCCAGGCAAAUCCGGAAAAUCAAGGCUGAGGCGUGAUGACGAGGCACUACGGUGCUGAAGCAACAAAUGCCCUGCUUCCAGGAAAAGCCUCUAAGCAUCAGGUAACAUCAAAUCGUACCCCAAACCGACACAGGUGGUCAGGUAGAGAAUACCAAGGCGCUUGAGAGAACUCGGGUGAAGGAACUAGGCAAAAUGGUGCCGUAACUUCGGGAGAAGGCACGCUGAUAUGUAGGUGAAGUCCCUCGCGGAUGGAGCUGAAAUCAGUCGAAGAUACCAGCUGGCUGCAACUGUUUAUUAAAAACACAGCACUGUGCAAACACGAAAGUGGACGUAUACGGUGUGACGCCUGCCCGGUGCCGGAAGGUUAAUUGAUGGGGUCAGCGCAAGCGAAGCUCUUGAUCGAAGCCCCGGUAAACGGCGGCCGUAACUAUAACGGUCCUAAGGUAGCGAAAUUCCUUGUCGGGUAAGUUCCGACCUGCACGAAUGGCGUAAUGAUGGCCAGGCUGUCUCCACCCGAGACUCAGUGAAAUUGAACUCGCUGUGAAGAUGCAGUGUACCCGCGGCAAGACGGAAAGACCCCGUGAACCUUUACUAUAGCUUGACACUGAACAUUGAGCCUUGAUGUGUAGGAUAGGUGGGAGGCUUUGAAGUGUGGACGCCAGUCUGCAUGGAGCCGACCUUGAAAUACCACCCUUUAAUGUUUGAUGUUCUAACGUGGACCCGUGAUCCGGGUUGCGGACAGUGUCUGGUGGGUAGUUUGACUGGGGCGGUCUCCUCCUAAAGAGUAACGGAGGAGCACGAAGGUUGGCUAAUCCUGGUCGGACAUCAGGAGGUUAGUGCAAUGGCAUAAGCCAGCUUGACUGCGAGCGUGACGGCGCGAGCAGGUGCGAAAGCAGGUCAUAGUGAUCCGGUGGUUCUGAAUGGAAGGGCCAUCGCUCAACGGAUAAAAGGUACUCCGGGGAUAACAGGCUGAUACCGCCCAAGAGUUCAUAUCGACGGCGGUGUUUGGCACCUCGAUGUCGGCUCAUCACAUCCUGGGGCUGAAGUAGGUCCCAAGGGUAUGGCUGUUCGCCAUUUAAAGUGGUACGCGAGCUGGGUUUAGAACGUCGUGAGACAGUUCGGUCCCUAUCUGCCGUGGGCGCUGGAGAACUGAGGGGGGCUGCUCCUAGUACGAGAGGACCGGAGUGGACGCAUCACUGGUGUUCGGGUUGUCAUGCCAAUGGCACUGCCCGGUAGCUAAAUGCGGAAGAGAUAAGUGCUGAAAGCAUCUAAGCACGAAACUUGCCCCGAGAUGAGUUCUCCCUGACCCUUUAAGGGUCCUGAAGGAACGUUGAAGACGACGACGUUGAUAGGCCGGGUGUGUAAGCGCAGCGAUGCGUUGAGCUAACCGGUACUAAUGAACCGUGAGGCUUAACCUU
rnacentral:rRNA from 1 species